GAUGAAGAACGUAGCGAAAUGCGAUAAGUAGUGUGAAUUGCAGAAUUCAGUGAAUCAUCGAAUCUUUGAACGCACAUUGCGCCCCUUGGUAUUCCAUGGGGCAUGCCUGUUCGAGCGUCAUUUGUACCUUCAAGCUCUGCUUGGUGUUGGGUGUUUGUCUCGCCUCUGCGUGUAGACUCGCCUCAAAACAAUUGGCAGCCGGCGUAUUGAUUUCGGAGCGCAGUACAUCUCGCGCUUUGCACUCAUAACGACGACGUCCAAAAGUACAUUUUUACACUCUUGACCUCGGAUCAGGUAGGGAUACCCGCUGAACUUAAGCAUAUCAAUAAGCGGA
rnacentral:misc_RNA from 1 species